UACGUAGGGGGCAAGCGUUGUCCGGAUUUACUGGGCGUAAAGCGCGUGUAGGCGGAGAUGCCAGUCCGGCCUGAAAGCCCUCGGCUCAACCGAGGAUCCGGGUCGGAAACUGCAUUUCUUGAGGGCGGAAGAGGCGUGUGGAAUUCCUGGUGUAGCGGUGAGAUGCGUAGAGAUCAGGAGGAACACCCAUGGCGAAGGCAGCACGCUGGUCCGACCCUGACGCUGAGACGCGAAAGCGUGGGGAGCAAACAGG
rnacentral:rRNA from 1 species